UACGGAGGGUGCAAGCGUUAAUCGGAUUCAUUGGGCGUAAAGAGCACGUAGGCGGAGUGGAAAGUUAGAUGUGAAAUCCCGGGGCUCAACUUCGGACCCGCAUCUAAAACUCCUAUUCUAGGGGAUGGACGGAGAAAAGGGAAUUCCACGUGUAGCGGUGAAAUGCGUAGAUAUGUGGAAGAACACCGGUGGCGAAGGCGCUUUUCUAGUUUAUUCCUGACGCUGAGGUGCGAAAGCAAGGGGAGCAAACAGU
rnacentral:rRNA from 1 species